AACGAACGCUGGCGGCAUGCCUAACACAUGCAAGUCGAACGAGACCUUCGGGUCUAGUGGCGCACGGGUGCGUAACGCGUGGGAACCUGCCCUUAGGUUCGGAAUAACUCCCCGAAAGGGGUGCUAAUACCGGAUAAUGUCUUCGGACCAAAGAUUUAUCGCCUUUGGAUGGGCCCGCGUUGGAUUAGCUAGUUGGUAGGGUAAAAGCCUACCAAGGCGACGAUCCAUAGCUGGUCUGAGAGGAUGAUCAGCCACACUGGGACUGAGACACGGCCCAGACUCCUACGGGAGGCAGCAGUGGGGAAUAUUAGAAAAGGGGCGAGAGCCUGAUCCAGCAAUGCCGCGUGAAUGAUGAAGGCCUUAGGGUUGUAAAGCUCUUUUACCCGGGAGGAUAAUGACAGUACCGGGAGGAUAAGCUCCGGCUAACUCCGUU
rnacentral:rRNA from 1 species